GACGAACGCUGGCGGCGUGCUUAACACAUGCAAGUCGAACGGAAAGGCCCUGCUUUUGUGGGGUGCUCGAGUGGCGAACGGGUGAGUAACACGUGAGUAACCUGCCCUUGACUUUGGGAUAACUUCAGGAAACUGGGGCUAAUACCGUAUAGGAGCUCCUGCUGCAUGGUGGGGGUGGGAAAGUUUCGGCGGUGGGGGAUGGACUCGCGGCUUAUCAGCUUGUUGGUGGGGUAGUGGCUUACCAAGGCUUUGACGGGUAGCCGGCCUGAGAGGGUGACCGGCCACAUUGGGACUGAGAUACGGCCCAGACUCCUACGGGAGGCAGCAGUGGGGAAUAUUGCACAAUGGGCGGAAGCCUGAUGCAGCAACGCCGCGUGCGGGAUGACGGCCUUCGGGUUGUAAACCGCUUUCGCCUGUGACGAAGCGUGAGUGACGGUAAUGGGUAAAGAAGCACCGGCUAACUACGUG
rnacentral:rRNA from 1 species